GGAUAACUCCGGGAAACCGGGGCUAAUACCGGAUAACAUUUUGCACCGCAUGGUGCGAAAUUGAAAGGCGGCUUCGGCUGUCACUUAUAGAUGGACCUGCGGCGCAUUAGCUAGUUGGUGAGGUAACGGCUCACCAAGGCGACGAUGCGUAGCCGACCUGAGAGGGUGAUCGGCCACACUGGGACUGAGACACGGCCCAGACUCCUACGGGAGGCAGCAGUAGGGAAUCUUCCGCAAUGGACGAAAGUCUGACGGAGCAACGCCGCGUGAGCGAUGAAGGCCUUCGGGUCGUAAAGCUCU
rnacentral:rRNA from 1 species